UACGUAGGGUGCAAGCGUUAAUCGGAAUUACUGGGCGUAAAGCGUGCGCAGGCGGUUUUGUAAGCCAGAUGUGAAAGCCCCGGGCUUAACCUGGGAAUGGCAUUUGGGACUGCAAGGCUUGAGUGCGGCAGAGGAGACUGGAAUUCCUGGUGUAGCAGUGAAAUGCGUAGAUAUCAGGAGGAAUACCGAUGGCGAAGGCAGGUCUCUGGGCUGACACUGACGCUCAUGCACGAAAGCGUGGGGAGCAAACGAGGAUACGAA
rnacentral:rRNA from 1 species